GUGGGGGAGGACGAGGGGCGCGUGGUUUUCUCAUCUCAUCCCUGGAGGAGGAGCUGGAGCAUCCCGGGCAGCCAAUCAGGGACAGGCUGGGGGGGGGCGCUUUGAAGAAGUUUGGGGGAAAAAAGUUUGGAAAAGUUUCUAUAAUAACGAGGGGGCGUCCGGAGGGAGGAGGCAGCGGCGGAGGAGGGGGCGUCUCAAAGAAGGGGAGGGAGGGAGCCACGGGUGAGGAUACGGCAGCCUCCUGAGCUCCCCCCUCCCACCCAGACCGGGACCUGGGGGCUCUGGCCGGCUUCAUGGGGGCCGCAAGCUGCGAGGAUGAGGAGCUGGAAUUUAAGCUGGUGUUCGGGGAGGAAAAGGAGACCCCCCCGCUGGGCGCGGGGGGGUCGGGGGAAGAACUGGACACAGAGGACGCCCCGCCAUGCUGCCGUCUGGCCCUGGGGGAGCCCCCUCCCUAUGGCGCUGCCCCUAUUGGCAUUCCCCGGCCUCCACCCCCUCGGCCUGGCAUGCAUUCGCCACCACCCCGCCCAGCCCCCUCACCUGGCACUUGGGAGAGCCAGCCCGCCCGGUCAGUGAGGCUGGGGGGCCCGGGAGGGGCUUCCGGGGGGACUGGGGGAGGUCGUGUUCUUGAAUGCCCCAGCAUCCGCAUCACUUCCAUCUCUCCCACCCCUGAUCCACCGGCCACGCUGGAGGACAACCCCGAUGCCUGGGGGGACAGCUCCCCCAGGGAUUACCCACCACCAGAAGGCUUUGGGGGCUACCGAGAGACGGGGGGCCAGGGCGGGGGUCCCUUCUUCAGCCCCAGCCCUGGCAGCAGCAGCCUGUCCUCGUGGAGCUUCUUCUCCGACGCUUCAGAUGAGGCAGCCCUGUACGCAGCCUGCGAUGAGGUGGAGUCCGAGCUGAAUGAGGCAGCCUCGCGCUUUGGCCUGGGCUCCCCCUUGCCCUCGCCCCGGGCCUCCCCCAGGCCAUGGACCCCCGACGAUCCCUGGAACCUGUAUGGUCCAAGCCCUGGAGGCCGGGGGCCAGAGGAUAGCUGGCUACUCCUCAGCGCUCCUGGGCCCACCCCAGCCUCCCCACGGCCGGCCUCUCCAUGUGGCAAGCGGCGCUAUUCCAGCUCGGGAACCCCAUCUUCGGCCUCCCCAGCUCUGUCCCGCCGCGGCAGCCUGGGGGAGGAGGGCCCCGAGCCACCUCCGCCACCACCAUUGCCUCUGGCCCGGGACCCUGGCUCCCCUGGCCCUUUUGACUACGUGGGAGCCCCGCCGGCGGAAAGCAUCCCGCAGAAGACCCGGCGGACUUCCAGCGAGCAGGCGGUGGCCCUGCCUCGGUCUGAGGAGCCUGCCCCAUGCAAUGGGAAGCUGCAGUCAGGGGCUGAGGAGACUGCGGCGCCCCCCGGGGGGCCUCGAAAGGAGGUGGCCGGCAUGGACUAUCUGGCAGUGCCUUCCCCCCUGGCUUGGUCCAAGGCCCGGAUUGGGGGACACAGCCCCAUCUUCAGGACCUCUGCCCUACCCCCGCUGGACUGGCCGCUGCCCAGCCAGUAUGAGCAGCUGGAGCUGAGGAUCGAGGUGCAGCCCAGAGCCCACCACCGGGCCCACUAUGAGACUGAGGGCAGUCGAGGAGCUGUCAAAGCUGCCCCUGGUGGUCACCCUGUAGUCAAGCUCCUGGGCUACAGUGAGAAGCCACUGACCCUACAGAUGUUCAUUGGCACUGCAGAUGAACGGAACCUACGGCCUCAUGCCUUCUAUCAGGUGCACCGUAUCACGGGCAAGAUGGUGGCCACAGCUAGCUAUGAAGCUGUCGUCAGUGGUACCAAAGUGUUGGAGAUGACCCUGCUUCCUGAGAACAACAUGGCAGCCAACAUUGACUGUGCUGGAAUCCUGAAGCUCCGGAAUUCAGACAUCGAACUACGGAAGGGGGAGACGGACAUCGGGCGCAAGAACACGCGAGUGCGGCUCGUAUUCCGGGUGCACGUGCCCCAGGGCAGUGGGAAGGUCAUCUCAGUGCAGACAGCAUCAGUGCCCAUUGAGUGCUCCCAGCGCUCAGCCCAGGAGCUGCCCCAGGUAGAGGCCUACAGCCCCAGUGCCUGCUCCGUGAGAGGAGGAGAGGAACUAGUGCUCACUGGCUCCAACUUCCUGCCAGACUCCAAGGUGGUGUUCAUCGAGAGGGGCCCUGAUGGAAAGCUGCAGUGGGAGGAGGAGGCCACAGUGAACCGGCUGCAGAGCAACGAGGUGACGCUGACCCUGACUGUCCCUGAGUACAGCAACAAGCGGGUGUCCCGGCCAGUCCAGGUCUACUUUUAUGUCUCCAAUGGGCGGAGAAAGCGCAGUCCUACCCAGACUUUCAAGUUUCUGCCUGUGAUCUUCAAGGAGGAGCCCUUACCGGACUCAUCUCUCCGUGGCUUCCCUUCAGCACCUGGCCCCCCCUUUGGCACUGACAUGGACUUCUCACCACCCAGGCCCCCUUACCCUUCCUAUCCCCACGAAGACCCUGCUUAUGAAACUCCUUACCUGUCAGAAGGCUUCAGCUAUGGCACACCCCCUCUGUACCCCCAGACGGGGCCCCCACCAUCCUACAGACCUGGCCUGCGGAUGUUCCCUGAGACCGGGGGUGCCACAGGUUGUGCCCGCCCCCCUCCAGUCUCCUUCCUUCCCCGGCCCUUCCCUAGUGACCCCUAUGGAGGACGGGGCUCCCCAUUUCCCUUGGGGCUGCCAUUCCCUCCUCCAGCCCCCUUUCGGCCUCCACUGCCUUCAUCCCCACCGCUUGAAGGCCCCUUCCCUCCCCAGAGUGGCAUUCCCCCCACACCAAACGAGGGAUACAAUGAGGUAGGGCCGAGCUAUGGCCCUGGGGAGGGGGCUCCGGAGCAGGAGAAAUCCAGGGGUGGCUACGGCAGCGGCUUCCGAGACAGUGUCCCUAUCCAGGGUAUCACGCUGGAGGAAGUGAGUGAAAUCAUUGGCCGAGACCUGAGUGGCUUCCCUGCACCUCCCGGAGAAGAGCCUCCUGCCUGAAGCUUCGCCUGGCAAACCCCAGCCCUGCCCAGCCUCGCCCACUUUCCCUUCAUCCCGGGGGCAGGUGUGACAGAAGCUGGAUUGGAGGAUUGGAAAACCAGGGUGAUACCUUCUUCCCACCCCCUUCCAUCUGGGUUGCUGCACUGAAAUCAAUUUCCUUUGUCUUCAUGAAUACAAAUAUCUGUGAACCAAACGGACAUCAAAUGAUCAGCUCACUGGGCUUUGGGAUCCCUACAGGCAUCUAGGUCCCUGAGGUUGGAUUUGAGAGAGAGAGAGAGAGAAGGAGGCCAGAUCUUCAGCUGGUGCCGGAAAAGACUUUCUUGGCCAUGAUUUCUCAAAGUGUGGUCUGAGAUUUCUUGCAUUUGAAUCACUGGGGAGAGUUUGUUUUGUUUUUUAAAGAUUUUAUUUUAUUUAUUUUUUAAAAUUUUAUUUUUAUUUAUUU